rnacentral:rRNA from 1 species
UACGGAGGGUCCAAGCGUUAUCCGGAAUCAUUGGGUUUAAAGGGUCCGUAGGCGGUUUUGUAAGUCAGUGGUGAAAGCCCAUCGCUCAACGGUGGAACGGCCAUUGAUACUGCAAGACUUGAAUUAUUAGGAAGUAACUAGAAUAUGUAGUGUAGCGGUGAAAUGCUUAGAGAUUACAUGGAAUACCAAUUGCGAAGGCAGGUUACUACUAAUAUAUUGACGCUGAUGGACGAAAGCGUGGGGAGCAAACAGG